rnacentral:rRNA from 1 species
CUCGUAGGCGGCUUAGUAAGUCGGCGGUGAAAUACCGAGGCUCAACCUCGGCACUGCCGUCGAUACUGCUAUGGCUAGAGUUUGGUAGAGGAGAACGGAAUUCCCGGUGUAGCGGUGGAAUGCGCAGAUAUCGGGAGGAACACCCGUAGCGAAGGCGGUUCUCUGGGCCAAUACUGACGCUGAGGAGCGAAAGCGUGGGGAGCAAACAGGAUUAGAUACCCUGGUAGUCCACGCUGUAAACGUUGGGCACUAGGUGUGGCGACCCGAUCAACGGUUGCCGUGCCGAAGCUAACGCAUUAAGUGCCCCGCCUGGGGAGUACGGCCGCAAGGCUAAA